rnacentral:rRNA from 1 species
UUGAAUUGAAGAGUUUGAUCAUGGCUCAGAUUGAACGCUGGCGGCAGGCUUAACACAUGCAAGUCGAACGGUAGCAGGAAGAAGCUUGCUUUCUUGCUGACGAGUGGCGGACGGGUGAGUAAUGCUUGGGAAUCUG